GGGGAAUAUUGGACAAUGGGCGAAAGCCUGAUCCAGCCAUGCCGCGUGUGUGAAGAAGGUCUUCGGAUUGUAAAGAACUUUAAGUUGGGAGGAAGGGCUGCAAGUUAAUACCUUGUAGUUUUGACGUUACCAACAGAAUAAGCACCGGCUAACUCCGUGCCAGCAGCCGCGGUAAUACGGAGGGUGCAAGCGUUAUCCGGAUUUAUUGGGUUUAAAGGGUCCGUAGGCGGACUUAUAAGUCAGUGGUGAAAGCCUGUCGCUUAACGAUAGAACUGCCAUUGAUACUGUAAGUCUUGAGUAUAUUUGAGGUAGCUGGAAUAAGUAGUGUAGCGGUGAAAUGCAUAGAUAUUACUUAGAACACCAAUUGCGAAGGCAGGUUACCAAGAUAUAACUGACGCUGAGGGACGAAAGCGUGGGGAGCGAACA
rnacentral:rRNA from 1 species